AGAACGUUCAUAGGAAAGCAUUGAGAAAUGCUUUCCUGUGGACUGUUUGAAUGCGCGCUCGGCUCUUGCAGCGCAUACGCAUUCGGCUCCACUCGGGAGCUGACGUCGGCGGGGGAGGAGAGGUCACCAGCGCCGAGGGAGCCCGGGACUGGAUUAAAGUGAGUAACUAAAGGGGUUUUAACCAUUUCAGCCCAGCCUGAGGGGGACCCUGAGUGUGGAACCUAAGGGUUAUUUAGUGUCAGGAAAACAAGUUUGUUUUCCUGACCCUAUAGUGAUCCUUUAA